rnacentral:lncRNA from 1 species
CUUCAUUUGCGAACCAUGUGCCAACAGAUGGCCUCCAGCCCUGUUGGGAAGAAACACUAGUCCCGGGGUGGAAACGAGCUGUAGAUCAGCCGUGAGCUUCAGCUGAAAGACCAGCUGACAUCGAUCCAACUAUUAUCACCCCUGCUUUUCUAGUGCCGAGAUGUUUUUUAAAAUGUCUGGAAGGUGCUAUACAAUUCCAAAUGUCCGUCUCAUCAAAAGGCAGUCUCUGUGGAAGGGAGACUCAAACAGCUGGCCUCUGCGUUCCUGGUGGUGGCUCUCGUGCUCA